GUGGCAUUUGCAAACUAUGUAGUCAGUCAGUGGUCCCAUCUGUCUGCCUCUCUCUCGUUCAGUUUCCAUGGAGAGGCUGGCACUGGGACACAUGACUGAUGGUAUGCUCCCCGCUGCAGUCCC
rnacentral:precursor_RNA from 7 species